GUGUGUGUGUGCAUGCGUGUGUGUGUGUGUGUGUAGUGUGUGUUGCAGCACCCUGGUGUAGUGGACUGUGCUGUAGUGGGACUGGAGGACUCACUGAAAGGUCAAAUCCCUCUGGCGCUGUGUGUCCUCCGACACGAUUUUGUGAAGAGUAAAUCCGUAGUGAUGAAGGAGGUGGUCAGUUUGGUGCGAGAGAACGUUGGUCCUGUUGCUGCGUUCAGGAACGUUCUGUUUGUCAGAGCUUUACCCAAAACACGCUCAGGAAAAAUCCCACGAUCCUCUCUGUCCUGUCUGAUCAACAACAAGCCGUAUAAGAUCAGUCCCACCAUUGAGGAUCCUGCAGUGUUUAAGACCAUAGAGAAGGUUAUGAGGGAACAUCUAAAAGGACCUGGACAUUAACCACACACACACACACACACACACACACACACACACACACACACACACACACACACACACAGAACAGCCUUAGGGACUUUUGGUAUUCAGUCAGCACUCUGUGAACGAUGAAAUUCAUAAAAGAAAAACAAAAAAUUUUCGCAAAAAAUCAAGGUGCCUUUAAAAUGUGAACUAGGUGAUUAAACUGUGACAAAAUCUCAACUCGCUUAACUUCACUAACAUUAUUUACUUUGUGACGAGUCUCACUAGCCUUGUGACGCGUCUCACUAGCCUAACUUUUUUAAUUCUGUUCAGCGACGCUUAACUUUAUUAGCAUAAUGCUUACUUGCUAAAGGAAUUUGUUUAAAUCUGCUUGCUUUACUUUACUUUAUAACGUUAUUAUCUAAACUUUCAUAUUGUUACUAGCUUUAACGUCAGUACUGCUAGCUUCUUUCUCUUAGCCUAGCAGUAGCAGUGAUGUAGCAAGCUAACGUCACAUCUGUACGGUAAAACCCACACCAGCAGACCGACACUGUCGUUUGUUUGUAUACUGUACUUUUUAUUGACAAUAUGUUUUGAUCACCACAUAGUUUUGACCAAAAUACAAUCAAUAAUAAAUAAUAAUAAAAAAAAAAUGGACACAAAAUAAAUAAAAUGAUUCUCUGUAACGUGCAGAAAUAACUCAAAGACAGGAAAGAGGUUCUGUACAUGAGGUCACCCGGGCAACGCCUACAGAAAACAAUUCCACAUCUGUACACAGAAAUAAUAAAAUAAUUCACAGCAA